GAUGACAUAAUUGAUUACACAUGAGGAAACUUGGCUAGGAACAACAUGAAACAGAGAGAUUCAUAGACAAAAAGAAAUAAGGCUAAGUUAUAAACAAGUAACUUAAUGUUAGGCUUCAAAAUGCCAUUUCCAUUUCAUUCUUCAGCUUGAGCAUCACAUUAUACAAGUUUCAAGAACAUGUACCUGGAAAUUGAAUGUACAAAAAAGUGAGGAAGCAGUAGACAAUAGCAGAACAGAACCUAGCAAAGAGGAAACCAAAACCAGCAAAACUAGCACGAAAUAAGCAAUGGAACAGUAAUUCCCAACAAACCAAAACCAUAUUUCAAACCAUAUUCAAACCAUUUCUCCAUUCCACAAUAUGAUUAUAGAAUUCUCCAAGAGUUAUGAAUGACAUAAGUAUAAGAAAUCCAAACCAAAGCAGAAAUUUUGGUAGUUUCAAUACUGGAAUGUAGAAAUUCAAAAUUUUUCUAAAAGAGAGAGCUCAACCGUUUUAGCUUUCUAAGGAAUUUUUCUCUUCUUAAUCUCUCUCUCACUUACUAGUGAAGUAAAGAUUCCC
rnacentral:lncRNA from 1 species